GAGUUCUUGGUGUAGAGGCAGCACGAAAGAUUGUGGUUCUUUUAGCGAAGGUUCGAGCCCUUCAGAACUCC
rnacentral:tRNA from 1 species